rnacentral:rRNA from 1 species
UCCGUAGGCGGGCUAAUAAGUCAGUGGUGAAAUCCCAGAGCUCAACUCUGGAACUGCCAUUGAUACUGUUAGUCUUGAAUUUAGUUGAGGUGGGCGGAAUACGUUAUGUAGCGGUGAAAUGCAUAGAUAUAACGUAGAACACCGAUUGCGAAGGCAGCUCACUAAACUAACAUUGACGCUGAUGGACGAAAGCGUGGGGAGCGAACAGGAUUAGAUACCCUGGUAGUCC